CUGUGGUCUGGGCUCCGCCGGUGCCGUCGGCGGCUUUGUAGGCCCGAGCGGGAGCGGGAGGCCGCCAAUGCGGUUUUGUGUACCGCGACGCGCGGUGGCCGGGAGAGUGUCAUUGGAAUUGCUUUGAAUGUUAUAGAUCUUGUAUGCUGGUUCCUCUCCUGACCCUCAGCCGUGUCUUGGAAACUGGUGGAAAAACUUUCCCCUUAGCCUUGAGAGUAGAUCUAAACUCCUGGUUUUACGUAGGUAAAAUGUAGGGACUGAGUUGCAACUACGGAGGAAUAUUCACUUCUUAUUUUAUUGGCUUCUGUUUUUGCUGGAUGAGGAAAGGAAAGCCCAGAAAAAAGGAAUUGCUCAGCUCACACUCUAUACAGUAUGUGCAAGAGCCCAGUUCUCCUCUCCAGAUAUUCAACCAAGUAUUUUUUCCAACUACAUUGAGAUGCCCUCCUGAAGAUCAGAAAAGGAGAUUGAGGAAGUGAAUAUUAUCACCUUGGGAAAAAAGCUCUACAAGAGGGAUAUGCUGUCCUGAUGUAUAUGGAAGAGACAGCUUAGUAGUGUGGAAAGUUCAGCGUUCUAUUUGCCUCAGUUCUGUUACUUCAUGAUUGUGUGACCUUGUUUCAUCUAUUAAGUAGAUAA